AGGAGGUUAGUCUAAUCAAGACUUCUAAUUUCGACUUAGACAAUUAUGGUGAAAUUCCAUAACCUCCU
rnacentral:tRNA from 1 species